AAGCGACUCUCUGGUCUGUUACUGACGCUGAGCUCGAAAGCGUGGGGAGCAAACAGGAUUAGAUACCGUGGUAGUCCACGCCGUAAACGAUGAGUGCUAAGUGUUAGGGGGUUCCGCCCUUUAGUGCUGCAGCUAACGCAUUAAGCACUCCGCUGGGGAGUACGACCGCAAGGUUGAAACUCAAAGGAAUUGACGGGGGCCCGCACAAGCGGUGGAGCAUGUGGUUUAAUUCGAAGCAACGCGAAGAACCUUACCAGGUCUUGACAUCCUUUGACAACUCUAGAGAUAGAGCUUUCCCUUCGGGGACAAAGUGACAGGUGGUGCAUGGUUGUCGUCAGCUCGUGUCGUGAGAUGUUGGGUUAAGUCCCGCAACGAGCGCAACCCUUAUUGUUAGUUGCCAUCAUUCAGUUGGGCACUCUAGCGAAACUGCCGGUGACAAACCGGAGGAAGGUGGGGAUGACGUCAAAUCAUCAUGCCCCUUAUGACCUGGGCUACACACGUGCUACAAUGGACAGUACAAUGAGCAGCGACACGGCGACGUGAAGCGAAUCUCAUAAAGCUGUUCUCAGUUCGGAUUGUAGGCUGCAACUCGCCUACAUGAAGCCGGAAUCGCUAGUAAUCGCGGAUCAGCACGCCGCGGUGAAUACGUUCCCGGGCCUUGUACACACCGCCCGUCACACCACGAAAGUUUGUAACGCCCAAAGUCGGUGAGGUAACCUUCGGGAGCCAGCCGCCUAAGGUGGGAUAGAUGAUUGGGGUGAAGUCGUAACAAGGUAACCA
rnacentral:rRNA from 1 species